rnacentral:tRNA from 1 species
GGGAAUAUAGCUAAGUGGUAGAAUGCAUGCAUAGCAUGCAUGAGGUCCUGGGUUCAAUCCCCAGGACCUCCA